AGCGAACGCUGGCGGCAGGCCUAACACAUGCAAGUCGAACGAACCUUUCGGGAUUAGUGGCGGACGGGGGAGGAACACGGCGGAACGUGCCUGUAUGUUCGGGAUAACUCAGGGAAACUGGUGCUAAUACCGAAUGUGCUCUUCGGGGGAAAGAUUUAUCGCCUUUAGAGCGGCCCGCGUCUGCUUAGCUAGUUGGUUGUGGUAAUGGCUCAUCAAGGCUACGAUCAGCAGCUGGUCUGUGAGGAUGAUCACCCACUUCUGCACUGGGCCACGGCCCAAAAUCUUACGCGAGGCAGCAGUGCGUAAUCCUGCGCAACCGGCGAAAUGAUGACGCCGCCCUGCCGGGUGAACGAUGUUGGUCUUAGGAUUGAAAAAUUCUUUCACCGGGGACGAUAAUGACGGUACCCAGAGAAGAAGCCCCGGCUAACUUCGUG
rnacentral:rRNA from 1 species